rnacentral:tRNA from 1 species
GCACCUGUAGCUCAGCGGAUAGAGCACCAGUCUUCGGAACUGGGUGUCGGGGGUUCGAAUCCCUCCAGGUGCGCCA